ensembl:lncRNA
GUAAGACCUCAAAUCCAGAGUCAACAUAUCUCAAGGACCCCAGCUUCUGCAGCCAUCGUGAGGAGGUUUCAGGGGGAUGCUGGUGCCCCGUCCGUCCGCCCGACCCACAGAACCAUCAACUCCAAUACCGGAAGUAUGUAUUGCAGCCGGUAGCAACAACAAGAAGCUCUGUGAUGUGUGUGUGGACCCAAGAAGGACAGGAAGACACAGUAAACAUGCAUCAAGUGCAAGAAAUACAUUUGCAACACACACACAGUAAAACUCUGUCCCUCAUGUGGUGUGUAGACUGGCAUUCAUUUAUGUUCAGUGGGGCUCAUUUUGUCACGCCCUGAUUUGUUUCACCUGUCCUUGUGCUUGUCUCCAGCCCCUCCUGGUGUCUCUCUUUUCUCGUCCUCCUGGUUUUGACCUUUGCCUGUCCUGACUCUGAGCCCGCC